rnacentral:rRNA from 1 species
UAAGGUGGCUAUAGCAACGGGGCUCACCUCUUCCCAUUCCGAACAGAGAAGUUAAGCCCGUUAGCGCAGAUGGUACUGCUGUAUUGUGGGAGAGUAUGUCGUCGCCUUUUUUUUGAAAAGCACUUAUCGUGAGAUAGGUGCUUUUUUUGUU